UACGAGGGGGGCGAGCGUUGUUCGGAAUUAUUGGGCGUAAAGGGUGCGUAGGCGGUUUGGUAAGUCUGAUGUGAAAUCUAAUGGGCUCAACUCAUAGUCUGCAUCGGAAACUGCCGGGCUUGAGUAUGGGAGAGGUGAGUGGAAUUCCUGGUGUAGCGGUGAAAUGCGUAGAUAUCAGGAGGAACACCUGUGGCGAAAGCGGCUCACUGGACCAUAACUGACGCUGAUGCACGAAAGCUAGGGGAGCAAACAGG
rnacentral:rRNA from 1 species